rnacentral:rRNA from 1 species
GAGUUUGAUCAUGGCUCAGAUUGAACGCUGGCGGCAGGCCUAACACAUGCAAGUCGAGCGGAUGAGUGGAGCUUGCUCCAUGAUUCAGCGGCGGACGGGUGAGUAAUGCCUAGGAAUCUGCCUGGUAGUGGGGGACAACGUUUCGAAAGGAACGCUAAUACCGCAUACGUCCUACGGGAGAAAGCAGGGGACCUUCGGGCCUUGCGCUAUCAGAUGAGCCUAGGUCGGAUUAGCUAGUAGGUGGGGUAAUGGCCCACCUAGGCGACGAUCCGUAACUGGUCUGAGAGGAUGAUCAGUCACACUGGAACUGAGACACGGUCCAGACUCCUACGGGAGGCAGCAGUGGGGAAUAUUGGACAAUGGGCGAAAGCCUGAUCCAGCCAUGCCGCGUGUGUGAAGAAGGUCUUCGGAUUGUAAAAGCACUUUAAGUUGGGAGGAAGGGCAGUAAGUUAAUACCUUGCUGUUUUGACGUUACCAACAGAAUAAGCACCGGCUAAC